rnacentral:lncRNA from 1 species
ACAAACUGUCUUUCAGCCUUCUGUACCAACAAUCUCAAGCCAUUUAACUGAGAUAUGCUUGGGGUACCAAUGCAUAUUUGUGACUGUAGUGAUGUCAUAGAAAAAUGGCUAUUGUAAAGCAAUCUCAAAAUACUGUAAAACUUUUGUGCAAGGGAGAUGCUGAAGAUGUUUUGGCUCUUCUAAAUUGACCUGAAAGCUGUCAGAGGCAUAGUAAUAGCAUUUUUUGAAUAUGAAAUACUGCCAAUUUUGAUUCCUGCAGUUAUGUCUGUUUAACUGGAUCUUUGAUCCUCAUUCAGCUAAGCUUAGAGGAGUUUGAUAGAGCUAUGUUAAAAACUGUUUUCAAGAUUUUUCUGACUGCAUUGGGAAUUUCACAAUUGCUCCAGAAUACCUCCCUCAAACACACUGGAGUUCAGAAUGUAUUUAACGUGUCUGAUUCAAGACUCUUGUAACUCCCUGCGUUAUCCCUUGUGCCCUCCCUGCUUGUGUCCUUUUCUCCUCUGUCCACUCUUGGCCAAUGGCACGGAUGAUUUAGUUAAUCUCAGGACAGAGGACAACUCAUGGAUGGUGGUGAAUUCAGUUAUAGAAGUUAGGCCUCUCCAUAAAUUUGGAACACACCAUUCCAGGUAUAACUAUAUCAUAGACUGUCUGAAUGAGAAUACAUUGUAGGCAGUAUUCCACAAAACACUCCUCAGAAUCCACUUAUUUGUUGAGGUCUUUUGAAUGCAAGCAGAGUUAUACAGCUAGGACUAUCAGCUGUGCAAUUUCUGGUACAAAAGGAGAAGUAUAAUGGGAGCUGUUGUUUUAGUAGCACCUCAUCACUUGCUAAUUCCAACAUUUUCAAAAGCAUGCUACCAGCAUGAAUUCAUCUGAGUUAGAACUUGAUGUCAUUUUUUUUUUUAUAUAUAUAUAUUUUUUUUUUUUUAAUUUUUUUUGAGGCUAGCAAUAGCUUUGUGUCAGAUAGCAUAUGGGGACAGUACAAGAACAUCUUACUGAAUGGAUGAGACGAUGUAAGAACAUCCGAUACUUGAAAUCAGGUUCAAAGAUUUUGUGUAGUCCAACAGUUGACUGUAAAAUGGGUGCUGGCUUUAAUAUAAUUACAAUGUUAAUAUACUAAAUAUUAAGCUGUGAGCAUUUUUGGAAUUGCUGUAAUCUUUGAAGUAGGAUAAUUGUCACUCCAAGACCAUAAAGACAUAAAUGCAAGAACACAAACUCACUGGUAAUGGAGUGUGGGAGUGUUUUUCAUUAACUUAAUUCCUCAGGUCACUUUAACAGCCUUAACUGAACUUCAGCGCUGGUCCCUAGAAUCCCAAUGGCACAGAGCACAUGUGAAAAGGAAGUGGAAGCCUGUCACUUCACUUAGAGUUGUAUGGAGCCCAUGGCUUUCUUCUCUACUAAUGUC